GAUGAACGCUGGCGGCGUGCCUAAUACAUGCAAGUCGAGCGAACAGACGAGGAGCUUGCUCCUCUGACGUUAGCGGCGGACAGGUGAGUAACACGUGGAUAACCUACCUAUAAGACUGGGAUAACUUCGGGAAACCGGAGCUAAUACCGGAUAACAUGUUGAACCGCAUGGUUCAACAGUGAAAGACGGUCUUGCUGUCACUUAUAGAUGGAUCCGCGCCGCAUUAGCUAGUUGGUAAGGUAACGGCUUACCAAGGCAACGAUGCGUAGCCGACCUGAGAGGGUGAUCGGCCACACUGGAACUGAGACACGGUACAGACUCCUACGGGAGGAAGCAGUAGGGAAUCUUCCGCAAUGGGCGAAAGCCUGACGGAGCAACGCCGCGUGAGUGAAGAAGGUCUUCGGAUCGUAAAACUCUGUUAUUAGGGAAGAACAAAUGUGUAAGUAACUAUGCACGUCUUGACGGUACCUAAUCAGAAAGCCACGGCUAACUACGUG
rnacentral:rRNA from 1 species